rnacentral:rRNA from 1 species
AUUGAACGCUGGCGGCAGGCUUAACACAUGCAAGUCGAGCGGAGAUGAGGUGCUUGCACCUUAUCUUAGCGGCGGACGGGUGAGUAAUGCUUAGGAAUCUGCCUAUUAGUGGGGGACAACAUUCCGAAAGGAAUGCUAAUACCGCAUACGUCCUACGGGAGAAAGCAGGGGAUCUUAGGACCUUGCGUUAAUAGAUGAGCCUAAGUCGGAUUAGCUAGUUGGUGGGGUAAAGGCCUACCAAGGCGACGAUCUGUAGCGGGGCUGAGAGGAUGAUCCGCCACACUGGGACUGAGACACGGCCCAGACUCCUACGGGAGGCAGCAGUGGGGAAUAUUGGACAAUGGGGGGAACCCUGAUCCAGCCAUGCCGCGUGUGUGAUGAAGGCCUUAUGGUUGUAAAGCACUUUAAGCGAGGAGGAGGCUACUGAGACUAAUACUCUUGGAUAGUGGACGUUACUCGCAGAAUAAGCACCGGCUAACUCUGUGCCAGCAGCCGCCGUAAGAC